rnacentral:rRNA from 1 species
GACGAACGCUGGCGGCGCGCCUAACACAUGCAAGUCGAACGAGCGAGCGAGAGCUUGCUUUCUCGAGCGAGUGGCGAACGGGUGAGUAACGCGUGAGGAACCUGCCUCAAAGAGGGGGACAACAGUUGGAAACGACUGCUAAUACCGCAUAAGCCCACGGCUCGGCAUCGAGCAGGGGGAAAAGGAGCAAUCCGCUUUGAGAUGGCCUCGCGUCCGAUUAGCUAGUUGGUGAGGUAACGGCCCACCAAGGCGACGAUCGGUAGCCGGACUGAGAGGUUGAACGGCCACAUUGGGACUGAGACACGGCCCAGACUCCUACGGGAGGCAGCAGUGGGGAAUAUUGCACAAUGGGGGAAACCCUGAUGCAGCGACGCCGCGUGGAGGAAGAAGGUCUUCGGAUUGUAAACUCCUGUUGUUGGGGAAGAUAAUGACGGUACCCAACAAGGAAGAGACGGCUAACUACGUG